rnacentral:rRNA from 1 species
GACGAACCGUGCGAACGUUGUUCGGAUUCACUGGGCUUAAAGGGCGCGUAGGCGGUCGACCAAGUCUGGGGUGAAAUCUUUCGGCUUAACCGGAAAAGUGCCCCCGAUACUGGCCGGCUAGAGGGAGAUAGGGGCAUGUGGAACUUCCGGUGGAGCGGUGAAAUGCGUAGAUAUCGGAAGGAACGCCGGUGGCGAAAGCGGUUCUCUGGGACGGUACUGACGCUGAGACGCGAAAGCGUGGGGAGCGAACAGG